rnacentral:rRNA from 1 species
GGACUACAGGGGUAUCUAAUCCGUUUUGCUCCCCACGCUUUCGUGCCUCAAUGUCAGUAACAGAAUAGUUAACUGCCUUCGCCGUUAUUGGUGUUCCCCUAUAUAUCCUUGCAUUUUACCGCUCCACAUAGAGUUCCGUUAACCUCUCCUGCACUCUAGCAAAAUAGUAUUACCAACUUCCACGAGGUUGGGCCCCGCUUUCACCGAUAACUUGUUAUGCCAUCUACGCACCCUUUACGCCCAGUAAUUCCGGAUAACGUUCGCCACCUACGUCUUACCGCGGCGGCUGGCAC